GUGGCCUUCUCUUUUGUCGCAACCGUUCUUUUUGUGGUAUAAUGGUGAUGUCACUUGUUUGUUGCAUCUAAUAAUCUGCAUGCAGGAUGGGUUGAAAUUAAUAGCUGUAACUAUGAUGAUACUCCUCUAGUAUGUAACACCGAUCAAUAUAUCAUCAAAAAUCAAUUGACAUAUGUGCAUGGGUAGCCAUCACAUAAAAACACGAUAAAUGAUAAUACUACCAUUUCUGAUGCAUACAUGUAUGCUCAGAUAAUGCAUGUAUAUUAGCUUAUUAG
rnacentral:lncRNA from 1 species